UCUGGUGGCGAUAGCGAAGAGGACACACCUGUACCCAUACCGAACACAGAAGUUAAGCUCUUUAGCGUCGAAUGUAGUUGGGCUUAC
rnacentral:rRNA from 1 species